rnacentral:rRNA from 1 species
CAGUAGCCGCGGGAAUACGAAGGGGGCUAGCGUUGUUCGGAUUUACUGGGCGUAAAGGGUGCGUAGGCGGAUUGUUAAGUCAGGGGUGAAAUCCCGAGGCUCAACCUCGGAACUGCCUUUGAUACUGGCGAUCUUGAGUCCGGGAGAGGUGAGUGGAACUGCGAGUGUAGAGGUGAAAUUCGUAGAUAUUCGCAAGAGCACCGGUGGCGAAGGCGGCUCACUGGCCCGGAACUGACGCUGAGGCACGAAAGCGUGGGGAGCAAACAGGAUUAGAUACCCCCGUAGUCCCUGUCUCUUAUAC